rnacentral:lncRNA from 1 species
AGCAGAUCUGUCCUCCCAAGACUUUUGUACUGUUCAGAAAUACCUUUUCUGUGAUGUUCACCACUUAGUUCUUCGUGCACACACAAUGCCAAGACAUGCCUAUGCUGUCAGUAAUACUACUCAGAACCUCCUCCACUGAUUGGCUUCUUAUCUGGGAAGCCUAUCAGAAACUCUUUUUGCUUUUGUUUGGGGAUCCCCAUGGUGGACUGUUUGCAAGAAUGGCAUGAAUUGUAAUCAGUUGAGUGCAACGUAACUGUUACGGAAGUUUAUAAAGACUUGGUUCCAGGAUACCUAAAGGAGACCACUGGUUUGUGUGUGGAGUCUGGCCUAGAUCCAACCAGUCCCUGAAUCUCAGCACAUCAUCAUUGGCAGGGGGAGCCCAGGAUGUAUGUAUGAAUGGAGGAUUGCUUAGUCCCAGCAACCACACACCAUGCAUUUACGAACACCGAGCUUUCUAGGCAAUAUGAAUUACUUCCUUGGAACAUCAUUGUAUUAUUUCAAUAAAUAGCCUUCUUCAUUGAAUGGGAGUCAGUUUGUCUUUUUCCAUUUUCAGAACUUGGCUAAGAUUAAAGAGUGAUGCAUCAAAGGAAGAGGGAUUAACUGCUAAACUCAUCACAUCCAGGCGGAGUUCGAAACUGAGUGUCAGGGGUCAGACAAGCCGGCUCUCUCCUACUUCUUUGCCGUCAGCGUUUAGAAGACCAGGAUUUCAGUGGAUCUUGGGUAGGGUGACUGUAUGUAGUGCGUGUUCACUCGUUAUUGAUCCACUAAACCAGGACCAUUGAGCUCAUUCUCAAGGGGGAGCUAACUAGAUGGGAAGCUGGGAUUGUGCUGGCACACCGGGACAUGUGUUUAUUCUGUGCAUGAGCUCACCCAAAGAAAGAAGUUAGACGGUGGGCAGGAGCCAUUGGACUGUGUCCCAGGGGCUACCCCACCAAACUCGCGUGUGACCCACCUGGAGAGGGGUUGGAGGUGAGGACUGAAGUAGACCACUCCUCUAUGAAUGAAUACAGUGGGCUGGGAUGAAGCUGAACGCAGCCCCCAAACCAGCGCGCAUCUCCCUGUGAGGAAGCCACUACAGUUCCAUUGGUGUUGGUUGGGGAACUAAGAUCGCGCAUGCUGCGAGGCCAGAAAAAAGAAAGGGAGCCCAUUUCCGCCCCGGAACAUUGUACCAGCUCUGGGUUGGGAGUGUAAUCCACAGAAUUCGGCCACACGCAUGCGGACGGAGCGGCCCGGGGCUCGUCCCGCGGCUGGAGACUACAUUUCCCGAAAGCCUUGGCGGUGGAGCACUUCUGCUUCCG